AUUGAACGCUGGCGGCAGGCCUAACACCUGCAAGUCGAACGAGUGGCGGACGGGUGAGUAAUGUCUGGGAAACUGCCUGAUGGAGGGGGAUAACUACUGGAAACGGUAGCUAAUACCGCAUACCAUCAGAUGUGCCCAGAUGGGAUUAGCUAGUUGGUGGUGUAACGGCUCUCCAAGGCGACGAUCCCUAGCUGGUCUGAGAGUAUGACCAGCCACACUGGAACUUAUACACGGUCCAGACUCCUACGGGAUGCAGCAGUGGUGAAUAGUGCACAAUGGGCGCAAGCCUUAUGCAGCCAUGCCGCGUGUAGGAAGAAGGCCGUCGGGUUGUAAAGUACUUUCAGCGGGGAGGCGUUACCCGCAGAAGAAGCACCGGCUAACGCCGUGCCAGCAGCCGCGGUAAUUC
rnacentral:rRNA from 1 species